GUUUCUACUUCCUCCCCUUCUUUCACAUACAUCCUAUGAUUGAAUAUUUCAAAAUCUUAAGAAUGUGUGGAGGUGGCAUGCUCUGCAAAUAUAUUUUGUAAGAUCUAGGUAGUCAUAUGGUCACAUAGGUGGGGCUCAGGAAGGCUUAGUGCUAAAUGAAGUCUGAUGAUGCCUCUUAGAAGUUGGACACUCUCUGCAGCAUUUCCUUUCUUAGUUCUACUGGGACAUGUGGCUCUAAAGCGAAUCUGAUGUGCCAUCAAAAUAUUUUAGCCUCUCUACUCCUCAGAUAAUUUUGGUUAUACCAAGGCUAUGUAGAAAAAGUGAUCUGGGAUAAGAAUCUUGCUACUAGUACUUAUCUUUAAAAAAAUCAUCUUCAUAAAAAAAUGUUGGAUGCUAUAAAAAAAAGGAAAAAGAAGAAGAAGCAAUCAUAAUCACACUACUCUAACAUAACAACUCUAAAAUAUUUGAUUAGUUCUUUUAUAUAGUGAAACACACACACACUCAUAUCAGCAGUGUAUCAGUAGUGGUGCACUAGAGCCAGUUUAGACAGUUUUGUAUAUCUCCCUGAAUCCACAACCCCAUAUUGAUGUUGAAAAAUUGAAAUUAGCCAUGGUUGGAGUAUUUGUAUCAUGGGAAUUGGCAAAUGCUCUAAAUCAAGGCUUCUCCUCCAGCCCCUGGAAAACUGGUUGAUGAAGAGCAUCUACCAGCGCAUCACUCUGCUUGGGGUGUGUGUGUGUGUGUGUGUGUGUGUGUUUGUGUUUUAAAAUCUUUUGAGCUCUUUAAGAACAGGAUUUUUUUUGUGAUUUUUGUGUGUUCCAAUAGGACCUAACACAUCACUUGAUAAAUUUAGUGGAUAUUUAUUAAAUGCCUGACAGAUUAAAGAAUGUAUGAAGGAAGAAAGGGUUAGAAUUCUGGAUAACAUUUUAACAACAGAUUUGAUACAUUGGUUGACUAAUAUUUUAUGAAUAAGUAGUUCCUCAAACCCAGAGAAAAGUGGCAGUUUUGCAGUUUGCUGUGGAACUUGUUGAAUUAAUAGAAAUUGUUUUUUCUCCAAUUCCAGAAUCAUUAAACAUCCAUUGAAUUGCCCACAGAGUGGAACCCACUGUAUUGCCCUGCAAGGUAAAAAGAACUUUCCAACUAACAGCCUUUCACUGUGGAAUGGGCCCCUGCGGGAUAUUAUGUUUCCUCUUCUGAGAGGUGGACUGGCUCAGGGGCCCUGAGCAUUUGAGGCUGGGGGGAGUAUCACUGAGAUGAUCAAAGAAUCCCAUGUUGUGGAAUGAUCUUUAUGACCCAGCCAAUCCCAGGACCAUGGUACCGAGAGUUUCCCCAUCCCCAUUGCUCUCCAGCAACAAGAAAGUGCAAGCCUGAGGAUGAAUCUUGCUAUUUCAACCACCGGCCUUGUGAUUAGUGGAAAUCUUGAUUACUCUUUAUGGGAAAAAGAUUUUUAACUUUUUAGUUAACCACUAUCUUCAUAACUUCAGUGCAGAAGCUAAGAAUUGUGAAAAAGCUUUUACUCUUCUUGUCCAUUAUCUGUUUAUCCUAGGUAGAGUUUUAAUAUCUAGUUUACCUUUUUGGGGAAGCGACAGAGUACUAAAAUACUUUCAAGAGUAUACAUAUAUACAUAUACAUAUAUGUAUGUAUAUACUAUAUAUAUGUAUAUACAGAUCAAUAUAUUAAUCUGGUUUGACAUCACAGCACCAAUGUUUAUAAAACUAUAAUAUUAUAAUUGCUAUUACAAUAAUAUUAAUUACUAUUUGUAAGGAAGUCAUCUAACUUUCACAGAAACUUAUUAACAUACGGAAAUACAAAGGAUCAUUUUUCUGUUAAGAAGAGACAACUAAGAUGCAAAAAUAAAGAGAAAAGCUUUGUACUGGAGAAGAUAUCUAAAGCUAAAAAUUGCUUUUAUUAAUCUUGCUAAUAGAGUAUAUUAUCUAUAUAAAUAGUUUUAAUAUCCUUAAUGAAAAUAAGAAAAUACAGUGAAUUCCCUUAAUUCGCUGUAAAAUUGUUGAGAUUUCAGUCAAACCAUGACCAUUAUGUGUAGUAAAAGAGUGCCGUAUCUAAGACUUACACAGUGUUUUGGAUUUUACGUAGUGUUUCCAGAGAUAUUAUUUCCUUUUAGUCCUCACAGCAGUCCUCAUUGUGUAUGGUAGAUGAGGAAUAUCAGUUACAGACUUAGCCAAGAUUAUAAACAUGGAAACAUGAACCCAAUUUACUAACUCACAAAGUAGUUCUUGUCCCAGCUGAAGUCUCUUCUUAUCCGCCUGGCCUUAUCUAGAUGUCAUUUUGAAUACAUCAGUUCUAACAGACUUGAAAUAAAAAUUGGAAUGACCCAAAUGGGACAUAUCUAGUUACUGCUAGAUUCCCCAUGGCAGAUUUCCACAUGUGAACUUUCUCUCAUUUAAACAAUCCCAUCUCACAACAGAGUGUUACUCUAUCAAAACCAGUAGUCUAGCAGGGCUUGAGAGGAAAGUGGUAGAGAAAGCUAAGGGAGGCAAAUGACAAUAUUGUAGCAGUCGAUGCCUUUAAGGAGCACCUGGGUCUGGCUCUCUAUUGAUCUGCUUUUGAAGUCUGUUCUAAACUACAACAACUGCUUUUCCUGUCCGUGAAAGACCCUUCAAAAACAAAAUAAGACCUUGUGUUUGUUAUCCCUUUCCCUCCAGGUGGGGAGUGAAUUGAGACAGAGUGGAGGGCUCAACCUGACAUCACUGUUCAUCAUUGUGAAGUAAAACUGUCCAUCCCUUGCAGGUGGCAGGGAAAACAAAGGCUGCUGGGGAAAUGGGCCUGUUCAUUGUUCAUUGCCUGUUCAAUGUCAGACACCCUCCUAGGUGGUUCUGAAGGUGGAAUUCUAAUUUUUUUUCUUCCUUCUGUUCAUGUCAAAUUGCAUGCAGAAUUGAGAGGCUUUACUGUAUUGACAAUACUAAACUCGCCAAAGAAGGUGAAGCUGCCAGUAAGUUUCUGCUUUUGGUUUGCUUACAGAUAUGCAGAUGGGAGAUAUAAAACACAAUCAAGUUUUCCUAACAGCUUUCCACAAUUAAUUAGGUUUUCUCUAAAAAGGAAAUAUUUCGUUGUGUUAGAUACUUCAUGGACUCUUAGACGGUGGAGGGGCCGCGGAAGUUGUCUCAUUCACUCCUCCCUCCCCCGCAUGCCAGAAUUUUCUCCCUCUCUAUGACUUCUUUUAGUGGGAAGGAGUCCACAUCUUCAGGAGGAAGUCUUGGUUGGACACCUCAAACGAUUAUAAAUUAGUUCCUUACAUUAAUAUAAAAUCUAUUUUUCUGGCAUUCUUUCCCAUGGUUCUAAUGUACAUUUGUGGAUUUACAUAGGAUAUCUAAUCUCCUUUCACACAAGAUCACGUCAUCUACACCAAAACAUCAAUCAUGGCCUCCCUAAGCCUUCUUUUUUCCAGGAUUAAUGUUUCUGUUUCAUUUAAUCAUAUGUCACAUGAUGUGGUUUGCAGAUCCAUUAUCCUUCCUGUGGGCCUCCUCUAGACAGUCCCUAACUGGCUGAUGCUUCACUUAACUCCAGUCCUGUGCUUACGAUUUCCAUUACUGUUCCUUGCAUGAUUACUUUUAAAAACUACAUGGUGCUCUUUGGAAUAAAUGUUUGAAAGUCAACCUCAUAAAAAUGUAAAGACUGUAACAGAGGUCGAGGGGGCAGUGGCUGGAAAGGAGAUUCAGCAAUGGAAGUAGCCAAAGUACAAUUUUGGAAACUCGAUUGUUCUCUUAGUCCAUUACAAAUUAAACAUUCCCAGGCCAGCAGGUUUCCUCCUGCAUCUGCUGAAAUCCCUCAGCAUGUUAUUGAUGCUUCUCUAGUGACACUGAUAUUUUUCGUCUCUGCAUUACCAUACAUCUUUCUGCUGUGAAUGAAUGAAUAAUCACCUUAUGCCUCCCUAACUCUGGAUAUCUGAAUAGAAGCUGUAUUGCUCAUUUUGCUUCUCUCUGAAACAUUCCUGGUCAAAUUUCCAGCUGACAGUAAAAUUGCCAAGAGCUCUACCCCUGAAGAGUGGCUUAUUUACAUUCCUCCUGUUAUAAAUACUGCAUUAGGUGUAACUAGUAAGUAAAUACAGAACUAGAGUAACAAACACAAUUGCUAAAUCUCAAGUCUAAACUUUGUCUCACAGUAUGCAAGUGAAUAAGUAAUAAUAAUAAUAUAAUAUCAAUGGCAGCAACAUAAUAGUGAAACUAUAUUGUACCUUUAUCAUAUGUGAGUCACUAUGCUAAGCACUUUACAUAUACUAUAUAUUAAUAACUUAAUCCUUAAACUACUCACAGAUUUGGAGAAGUUAAGGAACAUGCCAAAGCUAAGUUGCAUGUAGCAGAGCCAGGAUUCAAACCUAGAUUUUUUUUAAGCCCAUUCUCUCAAUCAUUAUAUUAUAAUACUUUAAAUUUAAUAGAGUCUAAGUAAAUUUUGAUUAGCAAUUCUUCUUCCUCAAAAUGAAGUUCAGAGGUUUUGCAGACCUUGUGGUUACUUCCGGUUCAAUAAUCAACAGCACAAUGGGUGAGUGAGUGGAAAUACCCUCUUUCUUAAGUUAGACUUUCUUCCAUUUUUGAUAGAGAGGAUCUGAAGUUGGCAGCAUCUUUAAAGUGCCUCUUUAGUUGGCUUUUGACAUUUGCUGGAACAAAGAGUUUAAAUAAAUAGAAGGAAAAUUCUACUGAAGAACAUAUUUAAUAUAGGAAUCAUGGAAAAGUCAAGCUAAAUAGAGAUGUACUAAUGGACCAGUGAAAAUCAAUGUUGCAUGUAAAGACAAACAGGGUUUUAAAAAUAGAUUUAGGGGGUAUGUGUGCAGGUUUGUUACAUGAGUAUAUUGCAUAAUGCUGUGGUUUGGACUUUUACUGAAAGCAUCACUCAAAUAGUGAACAUAGUACCCAAUAGGUAGUUUUUCAACCCUUGCCCCUGACACCUCCCUCCCUGCUGUUGGAGUCCCCAGAGUCUGUUGAGAAACAGCGUUUUAUUUUGCUGUGUGGUGUGGAAGAAUAUAUGCUUUAGAUUCUAGGGUGGAAGAGAGUUUCCAUAAACAAAUAUAGCUAUAGGGGUAGCUUGACUAAUAGAGUGUACAGUGGAACUUUUACAACCCACUUUCUGGAUACUCUAAUUCUGUUAAUGCGUGAGUGUUUUCAAGAGCUUCAUUGUUUUAUUGUCCCCGUUACACUUUCAGGUCACACUGAGCUUGCAGUCAAAGGGAGACUUCAGGUUUGUUUCAGAUAAGCUUCUGUAUAACUGGUACGUCUUCAAGUGAUGGGUUAUUUAAACCCACACACUGGCUUUAUACAUAAAUCUACUUAAUUACAUGUUAUUAAAUUCAAUUUGGCUUUUCAUCAUGUUGUUUUUUGAAUCUGAUAGAUCAUGUGGUAUAUUCCCUUUCACCCUCAGAUGUGUGACAUCUACCACUAAUAGCAGGUCAUAUCAGAUGAGAGAGUUAUGGGCCCUCACUUGAGUUAGCAAUUGCCAUCAAGGGCCGGGCGGGGUGGCUCAUGCCUGUAAUCCCAGCACUUUGGGAGGCCGAGGCGGGCGGAUCACGAGGUCAGGAAAUUGAGACCAUCCUGGCUAACACAGUGAAACCCCGUCUCUGCUAAAAAUACAAAAAAUUAUCCGAGUGUGGUGGCGGGCACCUGUAGUCCCAGCUACUCAAGAGGCUGAGGCAGGAGAAUGGCUUGAACCUAGGAGGCAGAGCUUGCAGUGAGCCAAGAUUGCGCCACCCACUCCAGCCUGGGCAAUAGAGCGAGACUCCAUCUCAAAAAAAAACAAAGAACAAAAAACAAACAAACAAACAAAAAACAAAGAAAAAUUGCCAUCAAGUUUUUAUUGACUUAUUGUCCCAGACAGUAUAACUGGGCUCUAAAGCAUUUGGAAAUUUUAAACUCCGUAAGCAACCAACUGACUGUUGUACAUGUUCUGAUCUUAUUGACAGAAUGCUUUUCUUCCCACUCAAACAGACUUUUCUCCCUUUUCUAAUGAUAGUAUCUUUGUAUCCUGUCAAAGUAAAUAUGCAAAAUUUCUGUAAUUCUCUUAAUACUUAUUGGUUGUAACUCACUAGUAUCUUGGGCAUGGAAGGUUUUGGUGUGGAUACAAGUUCAGUCAACCCCUGAAAACAGUAGGGGAUAAAUGAGAUCUCGAAGUUGGAAAUGAGGAAGGAUA
rnacentral:lncRNA from 1 species